rnacentral:snRNA from 1 species
AGCUUUGCACAGUGGCAGUAUCGUAGCCAAUGAGGUUUAUCCGAGGCGCGAUUAUUGCUAAUUAAAUUGCCUGUGUUUGCAAAGUGUUAUAAGAAAGAAAUGGGCAUGGGUCUAGAAUGUAUUAUGCUAAGGGAAAUAAGUCAGAGAAAGACAAAUACCAUAUGACUUCACUCAUAUGUGGAAUUUAAAACAAAA